GACCUUUCUUAUGAAUUAAAUCAUAGCCUCUAGUGGCGGGAUCUCGGCACUGGUAUCUUUUUUACUGCUCCUAGGGAAUUCUAAUGUUCCUGCAAGACUGAGAGCUCUUGGUCGAAUCUUGAUCUGGCAAGUUUCUGUGCAGAGCGUCUGAAUGCCUGCGUGGGUUUUGCACACGCCUGGCAGUGCGUGUGCGCCCAGCGGUCCGGCCACCGUCUGGCCGUGCGCCUUAGCGAUGUCUGAAUGGGGUCAGUGGGCUGGCGUGGACCUCAUUCUGCUUGGGAGGCAAAGGUCAGGCUUCCAGGGAAGGGACUCAAGACAAUAACUACGAGUAUUUACUAUCAGUUGAUCAUCCAGCUCUGUGCUAAAGGCUUUGAAAAAAUCAAGAAAGGUAGAAGAGAUCGUGCCUGCCUAUAGUAGCUGUCAGUGUAGUCACAGAUGUAAGAAGACAGAGGGCCAGAGGAUGCUAGAGCAAGCAGGUCACUGAUUGAGCCACGGGGCCCAGACACAGGUAAUGUCCUCAUUUGCUCUAGACUCUUCGAAGUGGAGACAGUUGGACCAAACUCCUCAUGGCAAAGGAAACCUUGGAUGAGGAAGUGAGAGGCGGG
rnacentral:lncRNA from 1 species